rnacentral:tRNA from 1 species
GGAACCAUAGCCAAGUGGCCAAGGCAUAAGUCUGCAAAACUUCUAUUUGUGAAUUUGAAUCUGAUCGGUUCCU